rnacentral:rRNA from 1 species
AGCGAACGCUGGCGGCAGGCCUAACACAUGCAAGUCGAACGAACCUUUCGGGGUUAGUGGCGGACGGGUGAGUAACACGUGGGAACGUGCCUUUAGGUUCGGAAUAACUCAGGGAAACUUGUGCUAAUACCGAAUGUGCCCUUCGGGGGAAAGAUUAAUCGCCUUUAGAGCGGCCCGCGUCUGAUUAGCUAGUUGGUUGAGGUAAUGGCUCACCAAGGCGACGAUCAGUAGCUGGUCUGAGAGGAUGAUCAGCCACAUUGGGACUGAGACACGGCCCAAACUCCUACGGGAGGCAGCAGUGGGGAAUCUUGCGCAAUGGGCGAAAGCCUGACGCAGCCAUGCCGCGUGAAUGAUGAAGGUCUUAGGAUUGUAAAAUUCUUUCACCGGGGACGAUAAUGACGGUACCCGGAGAAGAAGCUCCGGCUAACUUCGUG